AGCAGCAUGAGCGAACCGUGUCUCUUUAAAUCUACUCAAGAAGAUAUUCCUUCUGGCCCACAGGAUGCCAAAAUGACUUGAUGAUUUAUUUAUGCAGCAUUUGGCAGCCCAUAGUCCAGAUUGUGGCUGAGGCUGAAUGUUAUGAGCCUUCCCCUAGAAAAAUUGUAGGCCCAGGAGACUGUGGUGAAGAGA